rnacentral:rRNA from 1 species
AUUGAACGCCGGCGGAAUGCUUUACACAUGCAAGUCGAACGGUAGAGGGGCAACCCUUGAGAGUGGCGAACGGGUGAGUAAUGUAUCGGAACAUGCCCAGUCGUGGGGGAUAACGUAGCGAAAGUUACGCUAAUACCGCAUACGAUCUACGGAUGAAAGCGGGGGACUCGCAAGAGCCUCGCGCGAUUGGAGUGGCCGAUAUCAGAUUAGGUAGUUGGUAGGGUAAAAGCCUACCAAGCCGACGAUCUGUAGCUGGUCUGAGAGGACGACCAGCCACACUGGGACUGAGACACGGCCCAGACUCCUACGGGAGGCAGCAGUGGGGAAUUUUGGACAAUGGGCGCAAGCCUGAUCCAGCCAUUCCGCGUGCAGGAAGAAGGCCUUCGGGUUGUAAACUGCUUUUGUACGGAACGAAACGCGCUAGGUUAAUACCCUGGCGUAAUGACGGUACCGUAAGAAUAAGCACCGGCUAACUACGUGCCAGCCGCCGCGGUAACAC